rnacentral:rRNA from 1 species
AGAGUUUGAUUAUGGCUCAGAACGAACGCUUGCUGCAUGCUUUAUACAUGCAAGUCGAACGGAGGCCCUAGCUUGCUAGGUGUCUUUAGUGGCGCACGGGUGAGUAACACGUGGGAACAUACCUUAUAGUACGGAAUAACUGCGGGAAACUGUAGCUAAUACCGUAUAUUCCAGUAAUGGGAAAGAUUUAUCGCUAUAAGAUUGGCCCGCGCAAGAUUAGUUUGUUGGUAAGGUAAUGGCUUACCAAGGCUACGAUCUUUAGCUGGUUUGAGAGGAUGAUCAGCCACACUGGGACUGAGACACGGCCCAGACUCCUACGGGAGGCAGCAGUAGGGAAUAUUGGACAAUGGGGGCAACCCUGAUCCAGCAAUGCAGCGUGAGUGACGAAGGCCUUAGGGUUGUAAAACUCUUUCAUCGGUGAGGAUAAUGACAGUAGCCGAAGAAGAAGGACCGGCUAAUUCCGUGCCAGCAGCCGCGGUAAUACGGAAGGUCCUAGCGUUGUUCGGAAUUACUGGGCGUAAAGCGCAUGUAGGCGGAACAGAAAGUUAGAAGUGAAAUCCCUGGGCUCAACCUAGGAAUUGCUUUUAAAACUUCUGUUCUGGAAUUCAGGAGAGGAAAAUGGAAUAUCCAGUGUAGAGGUGAAAUUCGUAGAUAUUGGAUGGAACACCAGUGGCGAAGGCGAUUUUCUGGACUGAUAUUGACGCUGAGAUGCGAAGGCAUGGGUAGCAAACGGGAUUAGAUACCCCGGUAGUCCAUGCAGUAAACGAUGGGUGCUAGUCGUCGGACUUAUGUUCGGUGUCGUAGCUAACGCGUUAAGCACCCCGCCUGGGGAGUACGGUCGCAAGAUUAAAACUCAAAUAAAUUGACGGGGACCCGCACAAGCAGUGGAGCAUGUGGUUUAAUUCGACGCAACGCGAAGAACCUUACCAGCUUUG